rnacentral:lncRNA from 1 species
CCAGGGGUGGUGUUCUUGAAGCUAUCUUAGGACUAGGACGUGUCCUAAGUCCAUCUUAUGCCAGGUAUUUAUCCUAAGUCGUGUUCUCGAAGCUCUCUUAAUUUACGAUAUAUCGCAGUUUUCGUCCUAACUUUAGGAUACCUAAUUAGGUGUCUUAGGAUCAUCCUAUCUUCAUCCUAACAUAAUAAAGUUUUGAUUUCGCUUUGUGUUCACUUU